rnacentral:rRNA from 1 species
GACGAACGCUGGCGGCGUGCUUAACACAUGCAGUUCUAACGGAAAGGCCCUGCUUUUGUGGGGUGCUCGAGUGGCGAACGGGUGAUUAACACGUGAGUAACCUGCCCUUGACUUUGGGAUAACUUCAGGAAACUGGGGCUAAUACCGGCUAGGAGCUCCUGCUGCAUGGUGGGGGUUGGAAAGUUUCGGCGGUUGGGGAUGGACUCGCGGCUUAUCAGCUUGUUGGUGGGGUAGUGGCUUACCAAGGCUUUGACGGGUAGCCGGCCUGAGAGGGUGACCGGCCACAUUGGGACUGAGAUACGGCCCAGACUCCUACGGGAGGCAGCAGUGGGGAAUAUUGCACAAUGGGCGGAAGCCUGAUGCAGCAACGCCGCGUGCGGGAUGACGGCCUUCGGGUUGUAAACCGCUUUCGCCUGUGACGAAGCGUGAGUGACGGUAAUGGGUAAAGAAGCACCGGCUAACUACGUG